GAUGAACGCUAGCGAUAGGCUUAACACAUGCCAGUCGAGGGGCAGCACAAGGUAGCUUGCUAUCUGGGUGGCGACCGGCGCACGGGUGCGUAACGCGUAUGCAACUUGCCCUAUACAGGAGGAUAACCCGUCGAAAGACGGACUAAUACUGCGUAUGCUCACAACUUGGCAUCAAGUGGUGAGGAAAGAAAUUCGGUAUAGGAUAGGCACGCGUCCCAUUAGCUUGUUGGUGAGGUAACGGCUCACCAAGGCAACGAUGGGUAGGGGAACUGAGAGGUUUAUCCCCCACACUGGUACUGAGACACGGACCAGACUCCUACGGGAGGCAGCAGUGAGGAAUAUUGGUCAAUGGGCGCGAGCCUGAACCAGCCAAGUCGCGUGAAGGAGGACUGUCUUAUGGAUUGUAAACUUCUUUUAUACGGGAAUAACAAGAGUCACGUGUGACUCCCUGCAUGUACCGUAUGAAUAAGCAUCGGCUAACUCCGUG
rnacentral:rRNA from 1 species